rnacentral:lncRNA from 1 species
AUUAAAUAAGUAUAUGCCCUUCAACAAGUCACUUUCUCCAAAAAAAGCCACUUCAGGAUGAGGGCCCUGUGGCCUAGUGGUUAGAUUGGCACACUCUGCUCCUGCAGCCCGGGUUCGCUGGUUGGGCUCCUGGGUGUGGAGGUACACCACUUGUCAGCCAUGCUGCGGGAGCGACCCACGUAUAAAGUGAAGGAAGAUCGGCACAGGUGUUAGCUCAGGGCGAAUCUUCCUCAGCAAAACAACAACAACAAGAACAACACUCCAAAUUUCUAUUUAUGUUGCAGUCCACUCUAAUAUCUAAGUCAACAAGAGUCGAGAUUUGAAAGAAGCUGGUCCUUUUCCAUUUUGAACUUGUGGGGAUUACUUUCUUCCCUUAGUGGAGCCCUUUGGAAGUACUUGUUGAGAGAGAGCUCAGCUGGGGCAGAACACCGGCUCUGGGGGCCUCUUCGGCAGGGACGGUUGACGGAGGGAGUUUGGGCCGCAGGGGCUGCCACCUGGAAAAGAGGGGCCGCCCCACAGAGGCCCCUCCCAAGACUCUUUCUACUAGAAGGUGGAGGCCCCUGGCUGCAGGCGUGGCCGUGCCCCUCGUUUCCACUGCUCCAUGUUUCUCUAGUUCAGGGAGGGGCCUUGGUGUAGACGACAGUGACAGGCUGAAAAUUUGAGGUGACUUUCCUUGGUCGUGUAGCCAAAUGGGCCCCAAAGAUGCUUGUUUAUGAUUAAAGUGAAAGCAAGACAGAACAAAACCCAGCCACUGUUCUCCUGAGCGUUCAUGUGAAUUAGAUCAGACAAAUCACAGACAAAGGAAAGCAACAGGUGAUACUAAAAUGUCAUUUAAGAAGAGCGGUGCCAUCAAAAUGGCGGAGUAGGAGUUUUCUACCGCCUUACCCCAACGAACACUGAUGUUGACCAUCAUCCGCGGAUAAGAGCACCUUUGUGGGAAUCCCAGAGACCCGCGAACUUCCAGCACACUGUGGGAGCAAAACAAAACCUGAGAUUGGACGCAAUGAAGAGGACCAGUGUCACUUUUCCUGUGACUCCUCCCCCAGCGCACAGCCCAGAGCCAACAGAGCCCCUUUCGCCAGCGAUUUCUCCCCAAGGGGGAGGUGAGAGCGUGGGCGUGAGCGUCUGGCUUCCCCAACUGUAGGGCAGCCUGCCCACUUCUCUCUCUCCCCGCAUCCAGAACGCCGGGUGUGCUGCACGACCGGUGGGGGGGUGGAGGGGCCUGGGAGAAGGCAGCCCGGGCACUCGGAGGGCUUCAAAAGGACAAUUCUACCAGCCACUUUGCGGACUCCAUCAGGAAGCCCACCCACAAGCUGCUGGGGACAGCUUGCCUGCGGAUCUCCCCAGACGGCCCACGGACACCCCAGUGCUGCACACAUCUCACUCCCCACACCCCCACCCCCUGGCCGGUGCUGUGGGUGCGCACCCGACCCCCACCCAAGGUUGGUGAGUCUUCGCAGAUGGCUAGUGAGCGGGAUUGAGAGAAAGUAUGCAAACUUCAGCAUUCAAUGGGACCUGGAGAAAGCAAAAGGGAGGCUGCCCGCACCGGCCUGGCUCUGCAGCAUCCAGAGAAGGCAGACAACCUUAAGAAUUCCCUCCCAAGAAGGAACAAGAAGUGUGGAGCACACGUGGCCACAGAAACGGUCUGAGAACGCCUCAGUCCCUCACAGGGUGACCCAAGGUGUGUGUUUCUCUCCUGAAGCCAGUCGCUUGAUGGAGGAGGUGACUGCUUCUUCAGGGGUGAAGACAGCAAGGCAAGACUUCAAGGAACAUGAAAAAACAAGGAAACGGGACACCAAGGGUUGAAGUCAUUCAGUUUAGCGAGAGCGUGAUAAACCUAUACAUCUCUGAAUCUUGAAGCAAAAUCAGAUAGACCAGAAGCCAAAUCCAUGCCUUCUGCUUUCCCUCCAAGGCCUCCAUUCCCACCUCCAUCACAGUGUUUAGUGGAGGCAGAAAGCUGUAGUGUAUGGCGGUUCACAAGCUGAAAUAACCUAAAGGAUGAUCUCACAUAACAAAAUUUGGCUGAACUUAAUACAAAGUCAGAGUAGAAUCUGCAUUGAUGACUUUUGUAAUAAAAGUUUUUUAAACUAAUCAGUAAGGAAAAAAUUUUCG